AGAGUUUGAUCAUGGCUCAGGACGAACGCUGGCGGCGCGCCUAAUCCAUGCAAGUCGAGCGACGCAUUCCUUAGCCCGUAAGGGCGGGUUUGACGGAGCGGCGAACGGGUGCGUAACACGUGACCAAUCUGCCCCGAAGACCGGGAUAGCCCGGGGAAACCCGGAUUAAUACCGGAUGAUCUCACCACCACGCAUGUGGAGGUGAGCAAAGGCUCAGGCGCUUCGGGAUGAGGUCGCGGCCCAUCAGCUUGUUGGUGAGGUAACGGCUCACCAAGGCAAUUACGGGUAGCUGGUCUGAGAGGACGAUCAGCCACACUGGAACUGAGAUACGGUCCAGACUCCUACGGGAGGCAGCAGGAGGGAAUCUUGCGCAAUGGGCGAAAGCCUGACGCAGCGACGCCGCGUGGGGGAUGAAUGCCUUAGGGUUGUAAACCCCUUUCACGAGGGAAGAAACUGACGGUACCUCGAGAAGAAGCCCCGGCCAACUACGUGCCAGCAGCCGCGGUAAUACGUAGGGGGCGAGCGUUGUCCGGAUUUAUUGGGCGUAAAGGGCUCGUAGGCGGCUUGGCAAGUCGGCCGUGAAAACCCAGGGCUCAACUCUGGGACGCCGGUCGAUACUGCCAUGGCUAGGGUCCGGUAGAGGGGAAUGGAAUUCCGGUGUA
rnacentral:rRNA from 1 species